ACGUAGGGUCCGAGCGUUGUCCGGAAUUACUGGGCGUAAAGCGCGCGCAGGCUGUCUGGUCAGUCGAUGGUGAAAGCCCCACGCUCAACGUGGGAAGGUCCGUCGAGACGGCCAGACUGGAGGCAGGGAGAGGUCGGUGGAAUUCCGGGUGUAGUGGUGAAAUGCGUAGAGAUCCGGAGGAACACCGAUGGCGAAGGCAGCCCCCUGGGCCGAUACUGACGCUCAUGCACGAAAGCGUGGGGAGCAAACAG
rnacentral:rRNA from 1 species